rnacentral:tRNA from 2 species
CAGAGAAUAGUUUAAUUAAAAUAUUAAUUUUGGAGAUUAAUGUUAGGGAGUAAGUCUCUUUCUCUGA